rnacentral:rRNA from 1 species
UAGUACGGCGAGUGAAGAGGGAAGUAAGCCCAAGUAAUGUGAAAGCUUCGGCGUCUUCGGCGUCCGCAUUGUAAUCUCAAGUAAGUGUUUUCCGCUUCGGACCAAGCCUAAGUCCCCUGGAAAGGGGCAUCAUAGAGGGUGAUAAUCCCGUACAUGGCUUGGAGCGCCCGAGGCUUUGUGAUACGCUUUCUAAGAGUCGAGUUGCUUGGGAAUGCAGCUCAAAAUGGGUGGUAAAUGCCAUCUAAGGCUAAAUAUUGGGGAGAGACCGAUAGCGAACAAGUACAGUGAUGGAAAGAUGAAAAGAACUUUGAAAAGAGAGUUAAACAGUACGUGAAAUUGCCAAAAGGGAAGGGUAGGAGGUCAGAGAUGCGGCCUGGGAUUCAGCCUUGCUUUUGCUUGGUGUUUUUCCCAGAUUGCAGGCCAACGUCGGUUUUGGGCACUGGAGAAGGGUAGGAGGAACGUGGCACCUCUCGGGGUGUGUUAUAGCCUCCUACUGGAUACAGCGACCGAGACCGAGGACAGCAGCGUACUCGCAAGAGCGGGCCUUCGGGCACCUUUACGCUUAGGGCGUUGGCAUAAUGGCCCUCUACCACCCGUCUU